UUAGCCUCCAUAUAGUCCAGACUCUAAUUUGAGAUGUGAUGAAGACUUGUUGCAGUGAUCCGAUUCUCCAUCAUCAAUAAUCAAAAAUUAAUGCAACUAUGGGUGGAAAAAAUAUUGUGAACCUUACUGCAGUUGUGGGUGGUCU